GAUGAACGCUGGCGGCGUGCCUAACACAUGCAAGUCGAACGGAAACGCGCUGCUUUUGUCGGGUUUUCGAAUGGCGAGCGGGUGAGUAACACGUGUGUAACAUGCCCCUGACUGUGGGAUAACAACUGGAAACAGGGGCUAAUACCGCAUAGUAUCUCCUGAAGCACAGUGGGGGUUAGUAAGUUUCGGCGUUUGAGGAUGUACUCGCGGGUUAUCAGCUUGUUGGUGGGGUUGUGGCUUACCAAGGCUUUGACGGGUCGCCGGCCUGUGAGGGUGACCGGCCUCAAUGGGACUGCGGUACGGCCCAGACUGCUACGGUAGGCAGCAGUGGGGAAUAUUGCGCAAUGGGCGGAAGCCUGAGGCAGCAGCGCCGCGUGCGGAAUGACGGCCUUCGGGUUGUAAACCGCUUUCGCCUGAGACGAAGCGUGAGUGACGGUAAUGGGUCAAGAAGCACCGGCUAACUACGUG
rnacentral:rRNA from 1 species